rnacentral:rRNA from 1 species
CCCCCCCCCCGGGAAAACCGGCCUCCAAGGGGGGAGGAUGACCUUGGGGACAAAACGCCCAAACCCGUUUUGGGUUUUCCGGGUAAAUCCGGCGCUUAACAAUGGGCUGCCGGGGAUACAGUAUAACUAGAAAGUGGGAGAGGGAGAGAGUACUCUCUAGAGAGGGAUAAAAUCCUUUUAUCUCUUGAUAACCCCCUGUCGAAAGGGCGCUUUCUUCUAAUAUUUUUCUGUGAGAGAGAGAAAACCGGGACGAGCAAACCCGUUCAAUAUCCCCCGGGUACCCCCCCUCCUGUACACUAUGCAAACUCAAUAUUACUGCUUCAUUGUCUCUCGUCGCCCGGUGUGGAAGAAAUUCUCUCCUCCGAUCUCUUCCGUGCUACGUACGUACCCUCGAUUCUUUUGGCGUGCGGGCGUUAGUCGUAUCA